GCCGGCUGCAUUUCCAGCUAAAAUUCUCCCCAUGUUUCCCUUCCACUUCCACUCCUCACCUGCACAUAAAUCCACAGGUCCUACUGUGACAUGGACACUGGCCCAAGUGUCUGAAGACUGCAGGACCCCAUGGCUUCAUCGGACUUUGUUCAGACUGACAACCAGACGCACUACUGGACCAAGAUGUUUUGUGCACGACAGCACUGGUGCUUGGGCUGCCACGGACGCUGCCCUGUGCAUGGCAGGCAAUGUCAGUGGCAUCCUCGGCCACCGCCCACUGUGGGCCACCAGCACUGACCUUCCGCUCCCUCCCCCAAAACCUGACUGUGAAGUGUCUCUGAAGGCCCCUGGGAGAGGGGAAAAUGACUCCCAGGUGGCAGCUGAUCUGUUGAAGUCUCCAAAGCCGAAUCUGAACACACAGCCAGCCUCAGAGCGACUGGUGCUAGACACAGAGAUAGGUCACAGAGAUACUGAAUCUAAGAUGGCAAAGACCAAUGACCGGGGAGAGAAAUGGGC
ensembl:lncRNA